GAUGAGAAGUCUCCGGAAUCGCUGUACUGCAUUGAUGAUUCCCUCGAACCCUAGUCUGUCUGAUGGCUGCGGCAGCUCUGU
rnacentral:snoRNA from 7 species